CACGUAGUUAGCCGUGGCUCCCUCCUCUGUUACCGUCAGGGCCUGAGCAUUUUACUCACAGGCUUGUUCGUCACAGAAGACAGAGUUUUACAACCCAAAGGCCUUCAUCACUCACGCGGCGUUGCUCCAUCAGGCUUUCGCCCAUUGCGGAAGAUUCCCUA
rnacentral:rRNA from 1 species